rnacentral:tRNA from 1 species
GCCUGGGUGGCUCAGUCGGUUAAGCUUCUGACUUGGGCUCAGGUCUUAUCUCACUGUUUGUGAGUUCGAGCCCCACAUCAGGCU